AUAUAAGCAAAUUUUACUUUUUAGGUUCAUUCAAUUAAUGAUGUAUGUGGUUUAUAAUAUGGACCAAAUACAUCAUUAGUUGAAUGUACCUAAAAAGUAAAAUUUGCUUAUAU
rfam:Medicago truncatula strain A17 chromosome 1, whole genome shotgun sequence.